rnacentral:rRNA from 1 species
UACAGAGGUCCCAAGCGUUGUUCGGAUUCAUUGGGCGUAAAGGGUGCGUAGGCGGCGCGGUAAGUCGGGUGUGAAAUCUCGGAGCUUAACUCCGAAACUGCAUUCGAUACUGCCGUGCUUGAGGACUGGAGAGGAGACUGGAAUUUACGGUGUAGCGGUGAAAUGCGUAGAUAUCGUAAGGAAGACCAGUGGCGAAGGCGGGUCUCUGGACAGUUCCUGACGCUGAGGCACGAAGGCCAUGGGAGCAAACGGG